GCUAGCACCACGCUAACACCACGCUGAAGUCUCUCUCAUUUUCGUUUUGCUCACAUUGUGUAAAACUGUGUUAAUUAUUCACUCCACUGAAGCCAGUCGUUUCUACAGUUAUAUUCAGUUCUUGUCAUCGAGUAUUGUAUACUCAGGCUAGCUAAGUAUAUUGUAAAACAGCCGGCUAUUACAAGGCUGAAGAGAAACUGGGCUAAACUCUGUGCAUUAGCACAAGAAAAACUUGACUGUGCCAAUUUAGAGGACCUACUUAGACCUAUUUGAAGAUGUAGACGAUAAGCCUGCAGAAGAUUUCACACAUCUAAAUUCACUUACUGUAGAGGUUCUAGAAGAGACUCUUUUGCCAACAAUGUAAAUAUAUCUGGUUCAUUGCAGGGUGAUCUGCAAUUUCUGGACAUUCCUGCUGCAGAGCUUCAACAAGACAUAGAGAAAAAUAAUCUCAACUCAGAGGAUCCUCUGAAAGAUAGAGAAGGAAGGGAGUUUGAAGCUGUACCAACCAGUUUUGUCUAUUAUGGGAGAAAAUUGCUUUGGAGCUGCUCUUGUUGAUGAGCUUAUAACGGACAGGAAAAAACUAAUUCUGCACUUGCUAAAAAACUGCCAGUGGCUACUGCACCAAAACUGUUAGUGGCUCCUGCUCAAAACCGGCCAGUCGCUCCUGCCCAAAUACUGCUAGUCGCUCCUGCCCAGACACCAAAAUUUGUGGAAUCGAACACCGGUCUCCGGCGUUCCGCCUAGGCGUGUUGAUGAUUUCUCCCAUGGCGUUUGCAACUGUUGCUACUUAAGUGUAAAAAAAACCCCUCCUUUUCGCUAUUGAGCUCAGAUUUUCCCGUGAUCCCAUCUUGUGUAUACUUGUACCGUGAUAUAAAGAAACGGCCUAUGUUCUCUUACUCUUACACUAGGUAUCCAUUAUAGUGUUGUUUUGGUGGCUAAGCUUCCUUAAUUUUCUGCGGCAUUUAUUAUUUUAUAGAUUAUCUGAUGGUUCCCGAUAUUGAGGGAUUUUAGAGCUUGUACCACUGACUUUGAGUCUGUAAAUAUGGUCAAUACCUCAGUCAAGUCAUUUUGGCCAUAUGUGAUUUCCAUAGCUCUAAGGAUGACAUAAAUUUCUGCUGUAAAGAUUCCCCUCCCUCUGAUGUCCCUUCCCUCAUUAUGUAUAUCGCAUAAGGUUUUUUUUAUCUUCUUUAGCUGAUUUAUUGAUGUAAGCCCUUCUUGU